rnacentral:rRNA from 1 species
AGAGUUUGAUCCUGGCUCAGGACGAACGCUGGCGGCGUGCCUAAUACAUGCAAGUCGAGCGAGCUUGCCUAGAUGAUUUUAGUGCUUGCACUAAAUGAAACUAGAUACAAGCGAGCGGCGGACGGGUGAGUAACACGUGGGUAACCUGCCCAAGAGACUGGGAUAACACCUGGAAACAGAUGCUAAUACCGGAUAACAAAACUAGACGCAUGUCUAGAGUUUGAAAGAUGGUUCUGCUAUCACUCUUGGAUGGACCUGCGGUGCAUUAGCUAGUUGGUAAGGUAACGGCUUACCAAGGCAAUGAUGCAUAGCCGAGUUGAGAGACUGAUCGGCCACAUUGGGACUGAGACACGGCCCAAACUCCUACGGGAGGCAGCAGUAGGGAAUCUUCCACAAUGGACGAAAGUCUGAUGGAGCAACGCCGCGUGAGUGAAGAAGGGUUUCGGCUCGUAAAGCUCUGUUGGUAGUGAAGAAAGAUAGAGGUAGUAACUGGCCUUUAUUUGACGGUAAUUACUUAGAAAGUCACGGCUAACUACGUGCCAGCAGCCGCGGUAAUACGUAGGUGGCAAGCGUUGUCCGGAUUUAUUGGGCGUAAAGCGAGUGCAGGCGGUUCAAUAAGUCUGAUGUGAAAGCCUUCGGCUCAACCGGAGAAUUGCAUCAGAAACUGUUGAACUUGAGUGCAGAAGAGGAGAGUGGAACUCCAUGUGUAGCGGUGGAAUGCGUAGAUAUAUGGAAGAACACCAGUGGCGAAGGCGGCUCUCUGGUCUGCAACUGACGCUGAGGCUCGAAAGCAUGGGUAGCGAACAGGAUUAGAUACCCUGGUAGUCCAUGCCGUAAACGAUGAGU